GACGAACGCUGGCGGCGUGCCUAAUACAUGCAAGUAGAACGCUGAAGCGAGGAGCUUGCUCUUCUUGGAUGAGUUGCGAACGGGUGAGUAACGCGUAGGUAACCUGCCUUGUAGCGGGGGAUAACUAUUGGAAACGAUAGCUAAUACCGCAUAACAAUGGAUGACACAUGUCAUUUAUUUGAAAGGGGCAAUUGCUCCACUACAAGAUGGACCUGCGUUGUAUUAGCUAGUAGGUGAGGUAAUGGCUCACCUAGGCGACGAUACAUAGCCGACCUGAGAGGGUGAUCGGCCACACUGGGACUGAGACACGGCCCAGACUCCUACGGGAGGCAGCAGUAGGGAAUCUUCGGCAAUGGGGGCAACCCUGACCGAGCAACGCCGCGUGAGUGAAGAAGAUUUUCGGAUCGUAAAGCUCUGUUGUAAGUCAAGAACGGGUGUGAGAGUGGAAAGUUCACACUGUGACGGUAGCUUACCAGAAAGGGACGGCUAACUACGUG
rnacentral:rRNA from 1 species